GGGGAGUGAAAAAGAACCUGAAACCGUGUACGUACAAGCAGUGGGAGCACAGGUUUACCUGUGUGACUGCGUACCUUUUGUAUAAUGGGUCAGCGACUUAUAUUCUGUAGCAAGGUUAACCGUAUAGGGGAGCCGGAGGGAAACCGAGUCUUAAUUGGGCGUUAAGUUGCAGGGUAUAGACCCGAAACCCGGUGAUCUAGCCAUGGGCAGGUUGAAGGUUGGGUAACACUAACUGGAGGACCGAACCGACUAAUGUUGAAAAAUUAGCGGAUGACCUGUGGCUGGGGGUGAAAGGCCAAUCAAACCGGGAGAUAGCUGGUUCUCCCCGAAAGCUAUUUAGGUAGCGCCUCGUGAAUUCAUCUCCGGGGGUAGAGCACUGUUUCGGCUAGGGGGCCAUCCCGGCUUACCAACCCGAUGCAAACUGCGAAUACCGGAGAAUGUUAUCACGGGAGACACACGGCGGGUGCUAACGUCCGUCGUGAAGAGGGAAACAACCCAGACCGCCAGCUAAGGUCCCAAAGUCAUGGUUAAGUGGGAAACGAUGUGGGAAGGCCCAGACAGCCAGGAUGUUGGCUUAGAAGCAGCCAUCAUUUAAAGAAAGCGUAAUAGCUCACUGGUCGAGUCGGCCUGCGCGGAAGAUGUAACGGGGCUAAACCAUGCACCGAAGCUGCGGCAGCGA
rnacentral:rRNA from 1 species